CAGGAUAUCGAAUCCCUAACAGGAGGGCUGGCUGGUUCUAAGGGGGCUGAUCCACCGGAAUUUGCUGCACUGACAAAAGAAUUAAAUGCCUGCAGGGAACAACUUCUAGAAAAGGAAGAAGAAAUCUCUGAACUUAAAGCUGAAAGAAACAACACAAGACUAUUACUGGAGCAUUUGGAGUGCCUUGUGUCACGACAUGAAAGGUCACUAAGAAUGACGGUGGUAAAACGGCAAGCCCAGUCUCCCUCAGGAGUAUCCAGUGAAGUUGAAGUUCUCAAGGCACUGAAAUCUUUGUUUGAGCACCACAAGGCCUUGGAUGAAAAGGUAAGGGAGCGACUGAGGGUUUCUUUAGAAAGAGUCUCUGCACUGGAAGAAGAACUAGCUGCUGCUAAUCAGGAGGUAACAUGCCACACUUUCUCCUCUUUUGAGGUGCAAUAUCGCUGACAUUACAUCCCUUGUGUUUCACGUCACUUUUAUUAUAACUGUCACAA
rnacentral:sRNA from 1 species